rnacentral:tRNA from 1 species
UGCGGGGUGGAGCAGUCUGGUAGCUCGUCGGGCUCAUAACCCGAAGGUCGCAGCGUUCAAAUCCUGCCCCCGCUA